AUUGAACGCUGGCGGCAGGCCUAACACAUGCAAGUCGAGCGGAUGAAGGGAGCUUGCUCCUGGAUUCAGCGGCGGACGGGUGAGUAAUGCCUAGGAAUCUGCCUGGUAGUGGGGGAUAACGUCCGGAAACGGGCGCUAAUACCGCAUACGUCCUGAGGGAGAAAGUGGGGGAUCUUCGGACCUCACGCUAUCAGAUGAGCCUAGGUCGGAUUAGCUAGUUGGUGGGGUAAAGGCCUACCAAGGCGACGAUCCGUAACUGGUCUGAGAGGAUGAUCAGUCACACUGGAACGGAGACACGGUCCAGACUCCUACGGGAGGCAGCAGUGGGGAAUACUGGACAAUGGGCGAAAGCCUGAUCCAGCCAUGCCGCGUGUGUGAAGAAGGUCUUCGGAUUGUAAAGCACUUUAAGUUGGGAGGAAGGGCAGUAAGUUAAUACCUUGCUGUUUUGACGUUACCAACAGAAUAAGCACCGGCUAACUUCGUG
rnacentral:rRNA from 1 species